rnacentral:lncRNA from 1 species
AUCUGGCUGUAGUUCCUUCUUGUUGUUGUUUUUUAAUGAUUUACUUUUAUGUGCACUGGUGUUUGGCCUGCAUGUAUGUCUGUGUGAGGGUUUGGUUCUUCUGGAACUGGAAUUACAGACAGUUGUGAGCUGCCAUAUGGGUGUUGGAAAUUGAACCAGAGUCCUCUGGAAGAGCAGCCAGUGCUCUUAACAGCUCUUCUCCAGCCUCUUGAAAUGUUAACACGUUCACAUAAUAAUGCUUAAGGGUAGAGAGGCUGUGAGAUGUUUGAAUGUCUUGCCUUCCCACUUGUAACAGAUUGAUCUCUGACUUACUUUAGCCAAUAUUUUUCAAAGGAGAGGAUAUAUUAGGCAGAACUUGUGGCUUGCUAGGAAGACUUUUCUUUCCUUAUAUUUUUCUUGAGUCACUAAACUUGACUCAAGUUGCUGUGUUGCUCAAGUCUGUCUUAGGAAAUGCUAAAACCUUACCUGCAGAGCUUUUAGAUGCCAGAGUCUAGAAGUAGCCACAAUUCUAUUUUUCUCUGUUCUCUCUCGUUUUUAUUUAUAUUGUUUAGCCCUCCAUUUCCAUCUGUGAGUUUGUCUGAGGAUGAAAACUCUUGUUAGCAUCAACUAUUGUCCUUUCUUCCUUAGACUAUUAGAAAAUAAUAAUUAAAUUAAAAUACCCUCCAGACUACUCAACAUUUUGGGUGACUGUAGGGAGAAAAUUAUAGUAGCUUACUUCAUAGUUAUGAAGUAGUUAUCCUCAUUUUAUACAUCAAGGAGCUGAGCUCAGAUCAGUUACUUCUAGACCCUGUGAGGGGCAGACAUUCUACUCUAGUGUAGUGGUGGGGGUAGCUCAAAGAACACACUUUAAGAUUUUUUUUGGGGGGGCGGGGUUUCGAGAUAGGGUUUCUCUGUGUAGUCCUGGCUGUCCUGGAACUCACUCUGUAGAACUAGGCUGGCCUCGAACUCAGUAAUUUGCCUGCCUCUGCCUCUCAAGUGCCGGGAUUAAAGACAUGUGCCACAACGCCUGGCACACUUUUAAGAUUUUAAGAUGUUAAAAUUGGAGGUGCAGUAUAGUAGGCCUGAUGCUGCUGUGCUAACGAAUUUGUAGCUCAUCUUUUAUUGCACAAUUCCUUCUCAUACUCAGCAUUUAUUAUUUUUAAGUAUAGUACUUUGUAUUCAUUUACUGUUUGAGCCACUCCUUCCCUUUACACAUGAUCCAAAGUUCCCAUCUCUGUAGUUUGUUAUCCAGGAACUUCAUACUUGGCCUGGGCCCUCGCUUUGUUUUAUCUGGACAGUCUUAUUUAAUUAUUUAAUUUUAGUUUUGAGACAGGGUCUCAUAUAGCCCAGGGUGAUCUCAGACUCACUGUAUAGCUAAGGACGUAGUGGGGGGUGGGGGAGAAAGUAUGUUUAUAUGUGUGUUGUAGGGGAUUACAUAUUCUGAGUAAGUGUUUUGCCAAGUUUUUCUUUCUUCUCUUUCUCACAUAUGAUGGGUAAGUGCUCUUUUACAGAACUGUAUCCCCAGCCUGUUCUUACCUUGUGUUUUGAGAUAGUUGUUAACUAAGUUGCCUGGGUUUAAACUUACUCUGUCAACCCGGGUGACCUUGAACUUCUCUUUUGUAAAGAUUUAUCUUUGUGUUUGAGAGGGAAAAUUCUGUAUGUGGGCUCCUUUGUGUAGGCAGGGUGGGAAGAAACAGGAGGAGACUUGGAAAAGGAGGGAGAAAAAGAAAGGGAGGAAGAGCUGAGCAGUACGAGGAUUGUGGCAUUUGUGAAACCUCUAGAUUUUUAAGUUGGUGCUGGGAUCUGAACUCUGGUCCUCAGAUUUGUAUAGAAACAGUUCUUUUUAAAAAUCCCUUUAAAUUAUUAUUUUUUUAAUAGUGGACUUCAUCCUGUCUCUGCUCUGGGAGAGGUUUUUGUUUUUUGUUGUGUUUUUUUUUUUCUUCUUCAUUCCAGACAGGGAUUUAAACAGCUAUCCUGGAACUAACUUUGCUGGCAUUGAACUCAGAGACCCACCUGCCUUUGCCUCCCGAGUGCCUAAGUUUAUGCUGCGUAUCAGAGAUACUUCUCACUACCCUGUCUUGUUAGUCCUUUUCCGUUAUUCCCUAUUACUGGCUUUUGUUGCUUUUCUUCGUAGGACCUAUUAUGAUUUAUUCAUUAUGAUUUAUAAUGAUACACCUGCUUCCAUGAUUAUUAUCUGUCUUCCUACUAUACUUUGUAGGAGCAAAGAAGUCAUUUAUUUUGUUCUUGAGUGUAUGUAUCCCUAAUACCUAUCACAGUAUGGCAUAUUAUAUUUAAUAAAUAUUUAAUAAUUAUAUUCAAAAGC